ACUCUACAACUGCUUAAACAACUUAAGAAAGGACCCUACUGAAAAUAGCAGCUAAAUUCACCUUUAAUUACACCCUACUGUCUUCAAAAAGACAAGGGCACAUUAGAUGAUUGUAGCUCUAGAUAUAUUAUAAUUCUAUUUGUCUAGGAUGCUUUGUAGGAAUCAAACUUCGAUAUUUGAUUAAUACUAUAUUUUUAUUAACCCCACUAGAAUUAUGUGGAGGCACAUGGCUUAGUGGUUAGGGUGCUGGACUCAUGAUUGUAAGAUUGCAGUUUCGAUUCCUGGACCAGGCGAUGCAUUGUAUUCUUGAGCAAAACACUUCAUUUCAUGUUGCUCCAGUCUACUCAGCUGGUGAAAAUAAAUAAUACUGUGAUGGACCUGUCCAUGGAGGAAUAUAUAUAUAUAUAUAUAUAUAUGGACGGCUGAGAACCCAGAAAACUGGCCCUGUGCUUUUUUAUGGAACGAUGUGGACUAACCACCAGAAGUAUGAAAGGCAAAGUUAAUCCCAGUGAAAUUUGAACUCAGGCUCUAAAGGAUCAUACUUAAAUGUUGCAGGAAUUCUGGUCAAAGUUCUGAUGAUUUUUUCCAUGUCUGGGAAACAAAGAAAAGUGAAAGGAUACUUUUGAGAAUGGGUCUGCUUGGACAGAACUAAUUUUGGACUAAACAAAAGGGACAACAGCAAUGAUAACUACAACAACAGCGACAACAACUACGGCAGCGACAACAACAACAACAACAACAACUGUGUGGUCGACUGAAUUUACUGGAAAAUUAACUAAUGAACUGGAUAGUUAAGUAACCAAUUGAUUGAAGAAUUAAGUGAUUGAAUAGAAAAUAAUAAUGGUAGAUCCUCAGCUUACUCAAGAAAUGAAGAGGCAUGCUGUUAUUGUGGUUAUAAAGGCUGAGCAUAGCAAUUUAGAAAUAUCUCUAUUUCUAAAAGUUGCCAGAUCUUUUAUCUACAAAGUUUGUAAGGAGCUAGAGACUGAGGAUGGAAAUGUAUCACCAGUAUUGAAGCAUAAAAAGCAUUCUAAAUGCUCUGAAAUCAUCAGAACACCUGAAUUUAUCCAGCAAGUUCAACAGAUCAUUGAUUACAAUCUUAUAUGAUGAGGAAAGCUCAAUUUGUCAGAAAAAGCAAAAGAAAAUCACUACAUCAGAUCUAAAAGGCUCUUAAACAAACUGAAAAAUCCAGCAGAAGAUUUGAUUUGGUUUUUCUCAAACGAGAAAAACUUCGACCAAGAUCAAGAAGUUAACAGAAGAAAUGACAUGGUUAUGUGCAGAACUUUCUGAAGUUCUAAGUGUCAUGCAUACAAAAUUUCCUGCAACUGUCAUGGUUUUAGGGGUUGUCAGCAAUCAAGGACAUGUGAUACCUCCUUAUUUCUUUCCACAAGGCCUUAGAGCUAAUUCUGCCACCUACAUUGAGAUCCUGGGAAUAAUUGUUAAGCCCUGGAUAAACAGUGUAUGCAAUGGAAGGCCAUAUGUGUUUUAGUAAGACUCUUCACUAUCACACAUGGUUCUAGUAACACAAGAAUGGAUGGCUGAAAAUUUUCAUUAUCACAUAACCUCUAACAUUUGGAUUCCUAAUUCCCCAGAUCUCAAUCCAUUGGACUAUUACAUGUGAAACGUUGUUGAGAGAGAGGUCAAUGAACAUGCCCAUAACACCAAAGAUUCUUUGAAAGCUGCCAUAGUCAGAGUAAUAUCCAAAAUGAACCAGGACCACUUGAUUUGAGCAUGUAGAUGAUUUAGAUCUCAUAUAGAAACAGUUGUUGAAGCUGCAGGUGACUUUAUUGAAUAACAUUAUAGAAAAGAAGGUUUAUUUUUAUCCUCAUAGCAUUUUUUGAUAAAUAAAGUUAUUAUCUGUUAUUACAUAUCUGUAUUUUUUAUAAACAUAAAUCUGUCCUCAAAUAUUUUACACACCCUGUAUAUAUAUGUGUGUGUGUGUGUGUGUGAAACAGUUGAAAGAAACUGGAGUUGUUUUGUUGGGUUUUGCUCUCAAAACAUUCUCUUUCCAAAACACAAGAAAACAGUCAACUCCAGAUAUUUUUCACCUGACUCUCUCUCUCUCUCUCUCUCUCUCUCUCUCUCUCUCUCUCACACACACACACACACACACAUAUGUAUAUACAUGUAAGGGAUGAAUUUUCUAUAAAAAGUCAUUCACGAUGAAUCACUGAAAGGGAAUGUUAAGUGGUAAAUAAAUCAUUUUUAUCCAAAUUCCGAGUACCUUCUUUUUCUUAAUGUAUAAAAUCUAUACACUUCAAACAACCUACACAUACACACACACAUAUCAGUUGUGUAUAUGUGUGUGUUUAUCCUUGUUUUAACAUCAUAUUAUGGUUGCAAAAAGGUAAACAAAUGUCACUGUUAUACACGCAAUGUCAUGCAUUUCCAAUCUUCCAAGAAAAACAUGUCCGGCCAUGGGAAAACAGUUUCAGUUUCUGAAUCUCUGGUUAAAAUUUAUAAUAUUUUAUAAACCUCAUUUCAGUUUUCAAUAUUUGUAAAUAUAAAUCUCAUUUUUAUAUUUUUGAUAUUUACAGUGUAUAAAUUUCUGUUCAAUGUUUUCAAUAUUUAUAAAUUUAACCCUUUUGUUACCUUAUUUCCAUUAAAAUAUAUAGCUUUCUUUUAAAUUAUUCUUCAAAAUAAUGAAAGAUUUUGAAAAUAAGAAGUAUUUAAGAAUGAUGAAGAAUUUUGAAAACAAAAAAGAAUUUGGAUAAUAAUGGAAGAUUUUGAAAAUAAUGCAGGAUUUUGAAAAUGAUGAACUUUGAAAAUAAUAUAGAAUUUUGAAAAUAAUGAAGGUUUUUGAAAAUAAUGGAAGAUUUUGAAAAAUGAUCUUGUCAUUAUUAAGUUGGUGUUUGGAACAAUUAACAUGAAAUUUUGAUGGAAGAUUUUAAUGAGAUUCCCUUUAAUAAGGAAGUUGGUACUGUAGAACCAGGUGGGUUGGCAUCGAAAGUGCUAUCAUGUGGGUUGGUAUUGAAAGCGUCAUUUCAGUAUUCUCAAUAUUUAUAAAUAUUAAUCUCAUACCCAUGUUUUCAAUAUUUUCACUAUUUAUAAAGCUCAUUCCAAUAUUUUCAAUAUUUUCACUAUUUAUAAAGCUCAUUCCAAUAUUUUCAAUAUUUUAUAAUCUUAUUUCAACAUAUUCGUUAGUUAUAAGUUCUGCCAUGGCUGACUUUUUCUUUCAUCCUUCUAUGGUUGAUAAAAUAAGCAUCAGUUGAGCACAAGGGUUGAUGUAAUCAACUGGAUCCUUACCCCAAAUUUCAUAAACCAUGCUAAAACAGACAACUGGAGCCUAGUGCAGCUCUCUAGCUUGCUAGCUCCUGUCAAAACAGCCAACCUAUGCCAGUCUGGAAAAUGGACAUAUGAUGACGAUGGUGAUGAUAGCUUAGUUAGAACACCUGCCUUGAUCACAGGCAUUCAUUACAGGUGAAACUGAUGUGUUCAAUGGAUAUUUUUACUGAUCCUUUUUAAUCUUUUGUUAUUGAACCAAGUCUUUCUAUUGUUUCUUCUCUAGAAACUACAGUUCUCAAUAAAGUCUAUAACCUCUCAAA